UUUUAAAUCUCCGAAUUGAAAUAAUUAUGCUUCAUCCUAUUUAAAAUGUAAAUGAUGAUGUCAUUAUAAUAGUUUGCAUACUGAAUUGUGAUUGGUCUUCCUCUCUUAUAUUUAUUCACCCUAUAGCUGCUGUGAAGGUUGCAAGAAGAUGUGUGGUGACCAAUGUCAGACUGUGAAAGUGUUCAGGAAACCUGUUUGAAAACGGUAAAGUCAGCGCAGGUGCGUCCAUCUCAAACAUGCAGGACUUCGUAACACAACACUCUGGACAGGUGCUUUAACUCAGAUUAAUUCAUCUGAACUGGACGGAGGAUUAGCGCAGUCAUUGCGCUCUUAUCUGCAGCGCUGCCUGGACACCAGCGUUGCUGCGCUACCAAAUGAAGCUUUCUAAUGUGGACUGAAGGGUGACAGCUUGUGUUUCUUGCUAAUGCACUGCACACACACACACACACACACACACACAGCUUCAUAUGACAUGGCAGCUCUGUUCCAGAACUUAAUGAGCACCCUGCUGCCUAACAUGGGCAGUGGCUUUAACUGAUUUAGCUUUAGGAACCAGACUUUACACAGGAUUUCAAGUGGUCAUAUAUCUAGUGCAAAAAUAUCCUGUUAAAUUUACAGUAAAAAACUGGCAGCUAAAGUACAUCUAAAUUUACAUUACUUUUUAAAAUGAUAUUUAUUUUUUACAGUUUGUGUGUCAGAAUAUAUAUAUUAAAUAUAUUCAAAGUUUGGGUUCGGUAACAUUUUUUACAAUGUUUUGAGUCUCUUAUAUUUACCAAAUCUGCAUUUAUUUGAUUCAAAAAAACAAAACAAAACAAAACAAAAAUAAUAAUAAUUAAAUAAAAUACAAAUAAUUUUGUGAAAUAUUAUUAUAAAGUAAAAUACCUGUUUUCUCUUUAAAUAUAUUCUAACAUGUUAUUUAUUUCUGUGAUGCAAAGCUAAAUUUUCAGCAGCCAUUACUCCAGUCAUCAGUGUCACAUGAUCCUUCAGAAAAAGUCUGCCAUGCAUAAAUACUCAACUAGUUAAUAAGCUAAUAAUGUGAUAUCCUAUUAGAAAUAAAAAUACAGAUACUGGUUUUCACAAAUAUUCUUAUUGGAUAAAUAUAAGUCUUUAAUUACAUAAAUUUAAAUAAUAUAUUCAUAAUAAUAACAUGUCAAUAAUGUAGUUCGCAGAGCACGAUGCGAUUGAUUUCUCUGUAAAUGAUACUUAAGAUGUUACUUUACAAUUUGACUUAUUUUGUGAAGGCACCUUAAAAUGCUGCCUACAUAGAGUUUGAAACCACCUUCAAGCUUGUAUACAUACGCUUUAAUAAUAAGCUCUAUUGAGUUUAUUGAAGUAAACUGUGAAAUCAUGUGGGCUGAAUGUGCUUUCAUAACACCUCUUGAUUAAUCUAGCGCAUUUCGAUUGUAUUGAUGAAGAAACAUUGUGUGAAGUGAAUUCCCCCCUCUGGCUAGCGGGUGUGUGUGGUUAUCUCACUCAGAAGUAAACAACACACACACACACACGUCUACAGCAGAUGUUGGUUGUUCUGAUGAUGGCUGGAUAAGAACGCUGCAGCAUUACCUGUUAGAAACCAGCGUAAACAUUCUCCACCAUCUGCCACCAUCCAUCCAUCUGUUUCUUUAAAACUAGACCUUCAGUAACCUCAGGCAACAACGGCCCUGUGAUCUGCAGCACUUACGGCUAACGAUUCUGCCUCAGAAGGCAUUACGAGGGGAAUAAUGCAGACAGCUACAGUGUAAAUUAUUGAUAAACGCAAGUGGGAGAAACAAAGAUGCAAUGCUUUCUGUCCACUGACAGUUUAGGGAAGAAGAGGUGCGAAUGACUAGUGCGAUGCAUUCAUUUACUGCACAGCACCCUCUUGUGGCACUUCCUUUCUGCAUGCAUUGUCAUGCACAUGCUUACAGGUAAUGAUUUAAACAAACCCCAUAGAAUAGUUUUUUAACAUUAAGAUUGCUGUCAUUGUUUCAGUUGUUGUUUGUUAUAUACUCUGACCUGAUGUUUGGUGAUCUGCUGGGACGGUGCGUUGAUGCCCAGCUCCUCCAGCGGGUAGAUGAUCUGUCGUCUCGGGCUCACUGGCACCAUACAGUUCAACACCGCUGCCAGAGAGUCAGGAAUGACAUUCUGAGAGCAAAGAAGGACAAAAGAAGAAAUGUUUGUCAAGUCACGAACCAGAAAUCAAGACUUCUGAUAGAAAACAUUUGCUUGAAGAAACCCUGAGAUGUUAACUUAAUAUUUUAGUAAUAUUAUGAGACAUUUGCAUGAUAAAUGUUGUCUGAUGCUGGUUAAUGGUAACAUGACAGAUAAAAUAUGUAACGUGUAAGAGUUUUAUUUUGAUUUUAAAUUACCUUUUUAAUAAUUUAAUAAUGACUUUUUUUUAAAAUGGCAUUAUUUUUGUCAAAUAAAUAAUGACAUGGUG